rnacentral:lncRNA from 1 species
CGAAUUCUCAUGACAUGUUCAGGUUUCCCUCUCAGGCUAUUAGAGGCUCUCUACAGUUUCUAUAGAUGACUCUGCUCCUUUCUUGAUCUCUAGCAUCACCCCUGGGCUCCAGGGCAAGGCUUCACCUUUUCUUGGCACCUGAAACCUCUGUUGACUUGUUCCUCUUCCCUUGAGUCCCCCAGCAAUUUCUUUGGGCAGGUUUUCCUUGCCUUGCCUACUUCAAAGCAACUUUCUAAGCAAAGUUGCUCUUCCUUCUUUAUUCAACACUGUGAAGUUUGGAGCAAGAGAAGAUUUCGAAGACACUCUGUUCUUUGUAUUCCCAGAACUGCAGCAUCACCUUUACCUGGGAGCUUGUGAGGACUGCAGAAUCUCAGUCUCCACCCCAAGCCUUCCAAAUUAGAAUCUCCAUUUUAAUAAGAGCCCAGGGUUGCUGCAAGGACAAACGGUUGUAGCCAGCUGAUAAAGUGUUGCCAAUGACCAUCGUGGUGGCUGUUUUGUGAUUCCAGGGGGCCUCUGGAAGAAAAAGAGCUGUGGGGAGAAAAGGAAGGGACUACCAUAUUCUCCUCCACCUAAGUUAAUUCCUUCCUAAGCGAAGAAGUUUGUGUAGCUCUUCUCUGAGAGUUGCCUUCUAAGAACUUUUUCCAAGUUGAAAUUUCCUACCAGUUGAUAAAUGACACCAUUGGAUGAUGGCACAGUGAAAACGCGGCCAUCUGAAAGCCAGGAAGAGAACCCUCGCAAGAACCCAACCAUGCUGGCAUCCCAAUCUUCAACUUCCAGCCUCCAGAACUGUAUGAGAAAAUACAUUUCUGUUGUUUAAGCCACUGUCUAUGGUACUUUGUUAUGACAGCCAAAGCUAAGACAAAA